AGAGCACUGAAGGGUGUGAAACUUAGCCUCAUAGCCCUUUACUGUGCCAUCUUGCACAGUAGUGAAAGUAAUAUAAGUGGGCUUAAGCAUAUGGUGUACAAGGCAUUUUAGGUCAUCAUGUGUGGUAAUAUGCAAUGGUGGCAGUGUUUGGAAGUGAGGUAUUUAUUACUCUCUUAACCCUAAAUCAUUUUCCUAGAACUUAGUACAGAAGAUGUUACCAUCUGAACACCGCAGUCUCGGUGCCGGAAGUAUUUUUUAGGAUUUAAGCUUUGUUCAGGAACCUUUUUGUUGUGUGUGGUAUUUAGUU
rnacentral:lncRNA from 1 species